rnacentral:tRNA from 1 species
AGAGGUUUAGGUUAAACCACAGACCAAGGGCCUUCAAAGCCCUAAGCAAGUACAGACUACUUAACCCCUG